rnacentral:lncRNA from 1 species
GAAGAAAAUGAAGACGGGAGAAAAACGAAGCUGGCCAUCUCAUAUAGAGCAGUGGACUUUGAGUAAUCAGUCAGUUAAGAUAAUAGUUAGAGAGUUCUAGAAACUGGUUCAAAAUGGUUCGACUAUGAGUAGGAUGAGUGGAUACUAAAUGUCCCUUGCUCCCAUCCCACCAUCCCAAUCCUACCUAGAGCCUGCUGUGGAGUUAGAACCCAGAACUCCAUUCAGGUGACAGCUAAGUCUACUACGAUUGGAACCUUCUUGGUUCCAAUGAUAGUUCUGGAAAGCAAACAAUGAAAAGAGAAUCGUGCCCAGUGUUUGCUGGGUGUGAGGGUCUUCGGCAGUGGGGACCAGAUGGUGAGGAACGGAAGCAGGCUUCUGCAUCGCCAGGGUUCAGGUUCCUUCUCCUGGUUUGAGUUCUGUUUUUUUUUUUUUUUAAAUGUGAAGAGAUUUUCUUUGUCAUUUCUAAAACUCCUGUCAGUUGCUGGAUGUCCUAAAGCUGUUGAAUAUGGACGUAACUGUAAAUCCCAGAGUGUUUUAUUUUGAGAUGAGAGUUUUGCUACAGUUUAUACAGGAUAUUUUCCUAUUUAGACCUCAGGGCUAUCUUGGGACCCACUACUAAGUGUGACCCCUCCCCGCAGCUUCAAUUCUGGGUAGAUGAGUUACAUAACUUUUAAAUGUGAUAUCCAGCAGGAAGAAUGUAUUUCUCUCUUUUAACUUCGGGCAAAUUUUGUUUUAAAGGUCUAGAAAAAAGACAGUAGAAGAAAACAGAGGUAAAAGAAUUAAAAACCAACUGUAAAAUAAACAUUCUCAUGGUAUACAAUUGUGCUACCUGAAUAAACUUAUGUGCAUAAAUUAUUUAAAAGUGCUAUGAAACAUAUGGUAUUUUCCUGUCAUUUGUUUGGGUUGGUGUGGUUUUAUUCAUUUGAUUUCCACAUAUUUGCACUUUAUUUUUCAAAGCUAAGGGCCCUUCUAGUCGUGAUCCACCCCUUCCAGGAGGGGAGCACCCCUGGACAAAAUGUACCUCUGUUUCCCUGUGUAUCUCUUUAUGAGUGGCACGCCAUAUGCGCUUUCAUCCAGGGCUUUUCUUCCCCCAUCAAUUAAAAUGUCCUUGAGAUUUAAAAAUAAUUGGAAAUAUAUUUUUAUAUUUAUUGUGCGUGUGUGUGUGUGUGUGUGUGUGUGUGUGAGAGAGAGAGAGAGAGAGAGAGAGAGAGAGAGAGAGAGAGAACAUGCUGGUGUGUUAGUGUAGUGGGUUAAAGGACGGCUGUAGAAGCUGGCCCCCUCCUUCCACCACAUAUACACUAGGGAUCAAACUCAAGUCGUCAGGCUUAGCAGCAAGCGCCUUGACCACAGAGUCAUGUCACCAGUCUAAAGAUGUAGUUCAGGUUGACCUCAAAGUUGUGAUCCUCCUGCCUCUGCCUCUUGAGCAUAUCCUUCUUGCAUGCACCACCACAAUUGACUUAAAAUAUUUUAAAAAUCAGUUUUAAUGGC